rnacentral:rRNA from 1 species
CCUACGGGUGGCAGCAGUGGGGAAUAUUGGACAAUGGGGGCAACCCUGAUCCAGCCAUGCCGCGUGUGUGAAGAAGGCCCUCGGGUUGGAAAGCACUUUCAGUGAGGAAGAACGCCUGGUGGUUAAUACCCAGCAGGAAAGACAUCACUCACAGAAGAAGCACCGGCUAACUCCGUGCCAGCAGCCGCGGUAAUACGGAGGGUGCGAGCGUUAAUCGGAAUUACUGGGCGUAAAGCGCGCGUAGGUGGCUUGAUAAGCCGGUUGUGAAAGCCCCGGGCUCAACCUGGGAACGGCAUCCGGAACUGUCAAGCUAGAGUGCAGGAGAGGAAGGUAGAAUUCCCGGUGUAGCGGUGAAAUGCGUAGAGAUCGGGAGGAAUACCAGUGGCGAAGGCGGCCUUCUGGACUGACACUGACACUGAGGUGCGAAAGCGUGGGUAGCAAACAGGAUUAGAUACCCUGGUAGUC